UAAUACAGAGACCUCAAGCGUUAUCCGGAAUCAUUGGGCGUAAAGCGUACCGAUAGGUGGUUUUGUUAGCCAGUGGUGAAAUCUCCGAGCUCAACUCGGAAUCUGUCCAUUGGAACUGCAAAACUAGAGGGGCAAAGAGGAAGCUAGAACGAACGGUGUAGUAGUGAAAUGCGUUGAUAUCGUUCGGAAUACCAAUAGCGAAGGCAGGCUUCUGGGUGCCACCUGACACUGCUAGGACGAAAGCGUGGGGAGCGAAGCGGAUUAGAUACCCGCGUAGUCCACGCUGUAAACGAUGCACGUUAGGUGCUGGGGAGUAUCGACCCUCUUCAGUACCAAAGCUAACGCGUUAAACGUGCCGCCUGGGGAGUACGGCCGCAAGGCUA
rnacentral:rRNA from 1 species